rnacentral:rRNA from 1 species
UGGCAUCGNUAGGAGCGGGAGCAAGGCUAUCCAAGAGUGGCGAACGGGUGAGUAAUAUAUCGGAACGUGCCCAGUCAUGGGGGAUAACGUAGCGAAAGUUACGCUAAUACCGCAUACGAUCUACGGAUGAAAGCGGGGGAUCGCAAGACCUCGCGCGACUGGAGCGGCCGAUAUCAGAUUAGGUAGUUGGUGGGGUAAAGGCUCACCAAGCCAACGAUCUGUAGCUGGUCUGAGAGGACGACCAGCCACACUGGAACUGAGACACGGUCCAGACUCCUACGGGAGGCAGCAGUGGGGAAUUUUGGACAAUGGACGCAAGUCUGAUCCAGCCAUUCCGCGUGCAGGAUGAAGGCCCUCGGGUUGUAAACUGCUUUUGUACGGAACGAAAAGGUCUCUCCUAAUACGAGAGGCUCAUGACGGUACCGUAAGAAUAAGCACCGGCUAACUACGUGCCAGCAGCCGCGGUAAUACGUAGGGUGCAAGCGUUAAUCGGAAUUACUGGGCGUAAAGCGUGCGCAGGCGGUUAUAUAAGACAGAUGUGAAAUCCCCGGGCUCAACCUGGGAACUGCAUUUGUGACUGUAUAGCUAGAGUACGGUAGAGGGGGAUGGAAUUCCGCGUGUAGCAGUGAAAUGCGUAGAUAUGCGGAGGAACACCGAUGGCGAAGGCAAUCCCCUGGACCUGUACUGACGCUCAUGCACGAAAGCGUGGGGAGCAAACAGGAUUAGAUACCCUGGUAGUCCACGCCCUAAACGAUGUCAACUGGUUGUUGGGUCUUAACUGACUCAGUAACGAAGCUAACGCGUGAAGUUGACCGCCU